rnacentral:lncRNA from 1 species
AGAAAACAAUAAGAACUAAGAGACACAAAGGUUUUUCAAUGGGUAGUUAUGACUACCUCUUUUUGGCUUUUCUGAUUAUUUAUAGUAAAACAUUACAAGAAUUAGAACUAUUGAGUCCUAAGAAGAUAAGGAGAGAAUAAGAGAUAACACCAAUCCUAAAACAUUAUUAUCCUAAAGAUUGUAAAACCCAAAACCAAAACAUAACACCAAAACCGCUUGCUUCUAAUCCAAGUAACGAGGAUUAGGCCGUUUCGUACGUAUGGGCCGAUCCGAUAAUAUUGGCCCAUC